rnacentral:rRNA from 1 species
UACGAAGGGGGCUAGCGUUGCUCGGAAUACUGGGCGUAAAGCGCACGUAGGCGGUCUUUUUAAGUCCGUGGUGAAAUCUCUGAGCUUAACUCAGAAACUGCCGUGGAUACUAUUUGCCUUGAAUAUUGUGGAGGUGAGCGGAAUAUGUCAUGUAGCGGUGAAAUGCUUAGAUAUGACAUAGAACACCAAUUGCGAAGGCAGCUCACUACACAAUGAUUGACGCUGAGGCACGAAAGCGUGGGGAUCAAACAGG